UAAAUAUUUCUGUGCUCCCUCCCUGUAAGC
rnacentral:piRNA from 1 species